UGUUUGUUUGUUUUGGAGAGGUUGAAUUCCAGAAAGAGUCACCAUACACAUCCCCGCAACUGAUACUCUCUUUUACCAUACAGUUCCUGGCUCAGUUCUCUGCAUUGGGUUCCAUCCCUCAGUCUUACCCUUUCUGUCCAAGUCUGGGACUGUGUGUCUUCACCGAGUUGUGUUUGCAAGACCAUCUGAUGAGCUCUUGCCUGAGAGGUCUGUUGUCUUUCUCCCACCAAAACUCCAUAUAGGAUUCCAUGUGUCUUAAUUAAACCACACCCCAUUCCUCACCUUCCUGAGAUUUCCCAUUUUGAUCUGAAUCAUAUCAGAGACGUGUUCAAGCUCAUCUUCUUGAAUGACCGAUUACAUUGUAUGCACAUACCCUUGGAAUUGAAGAAAAAUCACUCGGAAAAAUGUAAGAAAACAAAAACAAAACAGAGCCCAGCAGUGGCUGGUAGGAAGAAAACAGUUUCCAAAAUCUUUAAGGCAUUGUUUACUUCAUGGAAUCAUGCAAUUGAUAUAAUUUUAUAUUACAAAAGCUUCUUACUUCAGAUAUCUUACUAUAAAGAAUACUUUGGUCUGAUUUUGAGACAGAUUAAUUGUUAGCAUUCCUAUCUGCUGCAUUUAGUACUGUCUGUUAGGAGCUAAGAAGUCAGUGGCUAAUUUCAUGAUGUCUUCAAAUCCGAAUCAAUGGUCUCACACCGAGGAAUAGAGGAAGUCUUGGAAGUUUCAGGCUUUCAUUAGGGCCCACACUUUAAAACACAUAUAAUUAAACAUCCCCUUACCUGCCACCAUCAGGAAGAGGCAGGUGAUUGCAGUCCGAGGAUGACCCGACAUCCCACAUACUGAUGAUGUUACUGUGGUUGGAUGGGUGUCCCUCACAGGCCCAUGUGCUAAAGGUUAUCCUUCUCAGGGUGAUGCUGUUGGGGGAUGAUGGAACUCGGGUUAAUGGGAACAGGUUCCCCAGAGGAUUAUAGAUGGCUAGCCUUCUGUGUUCCCUGCAGUUCCUGACUCAGGGGGUAAGUUCUUUGCUCCAUGAGUGUGUUCUAGUCCCAACAUAUUCUGACCUCACCAGAUGAACACAAUGAUAGAGCCAUUAACUCUCGACUAAGAACCUGUAGACCCAUGAGCUAGAUAAUCCUUUUCUAUGUGUAAAUGUAUUGCCUCAUGUAUUUCGUUAUAGUAUCAUGAAGCCGACUAACACAAGUCCUUGGGUGUGUCCUGUGCCAGAAAUCUCUUCUAAAGUGAACAAAAUAGAGGCAAUGGCAGAGCCUGUAGACAGCAGGGUAUUUGGAGGGACAUAGAGGCAGGAAGGUGAACGGUCUUGGAGUGGCAGAAUCCUGGUGUAGGGAAUGAAAGCUGAGUCCCACCAGAGCCCCAGUGAUGACAUCUCCAAAACUGUUGUUCCCUGGCCUCCCUGCCAGGGCUCACCAAAGCCAAACUAUGAAGCAACUAGCUUCGAUCACUGCCACUCGCCUUCCAAAUUCCCAAGAUGCAGGUGACUGAGGCAAAAAGUGAAUCCCUCAGCUACUGUCAGAACCUUCAAGGGAUCAGGGCUGCAGGAGGUAUUCCUUGCCUGUGUGGUGCCACUGCUUCCUGAUACAGAAACAUCUAAGUUGUACUUUCUAAUAAGGUUUCUUAUAAGGUUGGUUUGUUGAAUAAAGUUCCUCCUCUUCUUAGCCACAUGACCUGAAGAUGGUUACAGUAUCUGUUCAUAUCUGUCAAUCAUCACUGCAUUCAUUUAGGUAAGAAUAAUCAGUGACCUUUCACAGGAGAGGAACAAAACGCAGCCCAGUGACACUCCCCGAGUCAUUCAGGAGUGAGUGGCUGACUCAACAUCUGCACCCUCGUCUGGAGAAUUCCAAAGCCCGGUGCUGUGUUUUCCCUGGCCGUUUUUGAAAUCACGUAUUUUUUUUUAUCACAUUGUUGAUGUAGGAGAUUACUCUGGUGACCUGCGGAUUGUGGCUGUCAAACAAGAUGUGAAAAUACUGUGUGUGUUUAAUAGAAUGUCAUUCUUCAUACACAGACGGAACUUCCUUCCGCCACACAAUACGCACUUCCAGAUUUUGCUAAAAAUGGUGGUAGGAGAUUUGUGCUUAUUCAUUUAUAUUCCAAAAAAAUAUUAUUCCUUCCUUGUGCGCACACACACACACCCCACAUCGCAUCUUGUUAUGUUUACUCUUAAAGGGUAGCGUCAUCAAAUCAUUUUGGCAAUUAGAGUUUUAGGAGAUUUAGAAAAACU
rnacentral:lncRNA from 1 species